AUGGAAACUCACUUCGCUCUGUUACCAAAGCCCAAACUCCUACUCUUGCUACUUCGCUGAAUCUACAUCAUCUCAUAACAACUUGAUGAGAAGUCAUGACUGCAUCUGAACAGAAAGAUAUGGAAGCAUAAACACCAAACUGUCCUCACUGGCUCCUUCUAGGAAGAAAACUAAGAAGCCGAUGGUGGAAGAUGGGCUUUCAUUUUAUUGUUGUUAUUUAUUCUGCAUUGCUUGAUUUUUUAUUUUUAUUUUUUAAUGGAGUCUCG